UACGAAGGGGGCUAGCGUUGCUCGGAAUUACUGGGCGUAAAGCGCACGUAGGCGGAUUGUUAAGUCGGGGGUGAAAUCCUGGAGCUCAACUCCAGAACUGCCUUCGAUACUGGCGAUCUCGAGUUCGGGAGAGGUGAGUGGAACUGCGAGUGUAGAGGUGAAAUUCGUAGAUAUUCGCAAGAACACCAGUGGCGAAGGCGGCUCACUGGUCCGGUACUGACGCUGAGGUGCGAAAGCGUGGGGAGCAAACAGG
rnacentral:rRNA from 1 species